rnacentral:tRNA from 1 species
AUUUAAAUAGCUUAAGUAGAGCAUGAUAGUGAAGUUAUCAAGGUAAUAUCAAUAUUUUUAAAUA